GGGGAAUUGUUCGCAAUGGGCGCAAGCCUGACGACGCAACGCCGCGUGGAGGAUGAAGACCUUCGGGUCGUAAACUCCUUUCGAUCGAGACGAAUGUUUUUCGGGUGAACAAUCCGGAUAAGUGACGGUACCGAGAGAAGAAGCCCCGGCUAACUCUGUGCCAGCCGCCGCGGUAAUACAGGGGGGGCAAGCGUUGUCCGGAAUCACUGGGCGUAAAGGGCGCGUAGGUGGUGGCUUAAGCGUGCGGUGAAAGCUCGGAGCUCAACUCCGAGUCGGCCGUGCGAACUGGGCUCACUGGAGCAUAGUAGAGGCAGGUGGAAUUCCGGGUGUAGCGGUGGAAUGCGUAGAGAUCCGGAAGAACACCGGUGGCGAAGGCGGCCUGCUGGGCUAUGGCUGACACUGAGGCGCGACAGCGUGGGGAGCAAAC
rnacentral:rRNA from 1 species